AAUUUUUUGGUUUUUCUAUGCCUUAGAUGAAUGCAGACUCAAAAAUAUAUACAAUGCAACACACACUUUCUGAGCCCUCCCCCAAACUUAAAUCACACAGUCCACUGUGCGAAUAAACUUGGAAGAGAGUACUCAGGACAAAUCCAAUCAUAGAAACAAAAAAUGAAGAAACAAAUCACAACAGAUGAUAUAAUACAAUGGUGAAGUGAGGCGCUUACCUCAGUUGAAGAAUGAACGUAGUUGCUCGUCAAUGGCUGCCUGUGAUUGCUCCCAGGCCAUAGACGAACCACCUUGUUCUGUAUCAGCUCCAGGAAGUGGGUACUCGACCUCAUCAGCUCUCUGGCGGCCAGCACCGCUCUGAGGAAACUCGACCUCUCUCCUUCUGCUGCGGCCAGCACCGCGGUCGAGUGACCUUCUCAAGUGAAUGAGGCGUGAUCUGCUGCUAGAUCGAGUGAGUGUAGCCUUCCUUCUUCUCUUGUGCUCCCGGGAUUCGAACGACGAAUGCCUAGCCAGGACAUGUGAUACUCUCUGCUCGCUAAGCUCAGGCCUGUGCUCAGGCUCAUCAAAUCUCCUUGAUGGCAUCUCCAGAGGAGGCUGUCCCUGUGGAAUAGCAGUGGUGGAGGAGGAACAACUCAGCUUAUCUGUCAGAAGCUUGAUAGUCUUGAAACACUUGGCGAGCAGCUUGUCCUGCUUCUUGCACCACUUCUACAGUUUACUGUUAUU
rnacentral:sRNA from 1 species